CCGCUCCAUCCGGAGGCAGGUGACGCGCUGGGAAGCGGAGCUGCUCCGGCGGCGCCGGGCGCGCCAGGCCAAGCGGCGCCUCCAGGACACCCAGCCCCGGCGCCUGGGGCGCCUCAAGUACGAAGAUCCCAGCCUGGACGUGCAGCUGAGCGACGAGCUGGCCGAGUCCCUGCGCCUGCUCAAGGUGGGUCCCUGCGGGAAUGGCGGGCUCAUUCCCGGCCCAUCCGGCGCCCUGUGAUGAGACCCAUCCUUGCGCUACGAGGAUUCCCGCCUUCGGGAAUGUGAAGGUCUCCUAGGGGCUCCCGGGGCCUCGGGGAGGUCCCGGGAGCUGAGGGCUCCCC